UACGGAGGGAGCUAGCGUUGUUCGGAAUUACUGGGCGUAAAGCGCACGUAGGCGGCGACUCAAGUCAGAGGUGAAAAGCCCCGGGGCUCAACCCCCGGAACUGCCUUUGAAAACUAGGUUGCUAGAAUCUUGGAGAGGUCAGUGGAAUUCCGAGUGUAGAGGUGAAAUUCGUAGAUAUUCGGAAGAACACCAGUGGCGAAGGCGGCUCACUGGACCGGCAUUGACGCUGAGGUGCGAAAGCGUGGGGAGCAGACAGG
rnacentral:rRNA from 1 species